AGAGUUUGAUCCUGGCUCAGAAUCAACGCUGGCGGCGUGCUUAACACAUGCAAGUCGAGCGGAAAGGCCCUUCGGGGUACUCGAGCGGCGAACGGGUGAGUAACACGUGAGCAAUCUGCCCCUGGCUCUGGGAUAGCUCCGGGAAACCGGGAUUAAUACCUGAUAUGACUGUGGCCUGCAUGGGCUGUGGUGGAAAGAUU
rnacentral:rRNA from 1 species